rnacentral:rRNA from 1 species
UACGUAGGUGGCAAGCGUUGUCCGGAAUUAUUGGGCGUAAAGCGCGCGCAGGUGGUUUCUUAAGUCUGAUGUGAAAGCCCCCGGCUCAACCGGGGAGGGUCAUUGGAAACUGGGAGACUUGAGUGCAGAAGAGGAAAGUGGAAUUCCAAGUGUAGCGGUGAAAUGCGUAGAGAUUUGGAGGAACACCAGUGGCGAAGGCGACUUUCUGGUCUGUAACUGACACUGAGGCGCGAAAGCGUGGGGAGCAAAC